rnacentral:rRNA from 1 species
GACGAACGCUGGCGGCGUGCCUAAUACAUGCAAGUCGAGCGGACUGAAUGGGAGCUUGCUCUUGUUCGGUCAGCGGCGGACGGGUGAGUAACACGUGGGCAACCUGCCCGCAAGACCGGGAUAACUCCGGGAAACCGGAGCUAAUACCGGAUAACACCGAAGACCGCAUGGUCUUUGGUUGAAAGGCGACGCAAGCUGCCACUUGCGGAUGGGCCCGCGGCGCAUUAGCUAGUUGGUGAGGUAACGGCUCACCAAGGCGACGAUGCGUAGCCGGCCUGAGAGGGUGACCGGCCACACUGGGACUGAGACACGGCCCAGACUCCUACGGGAGGCAGCAGUAGGGAAUCUUCCGCAAUGGGCGAAAGCCUGACGGAGCGACGCCGCGUGAGCGAAGAAGGCCUUCGGGUCGUAAAGCUCUGUUGUGAGGGACGAAGGAGCGCCGUUUGAAGAAGGCGGCGCGGUGACGGUACCUCACGAGGAAGCCCCGGCUAACUACGUG